rnacentral:tRNA from 1 species
GGGCGAUUAGCUCAGUUGGGAGAGCACCUCCCUUACAAGGGGGGGUCACUGGUUCGAGCCCGGUAUCGCCCACCA